UACGGAGGGUGCGAGCGUUGUCCGGAAUCACUGGGCGUAAAGGGCGCGUAGGCGGCGCGGGAAGUCAUCGGUGAAAGUUCAGGGCUCAACUCUGAAUCGGCCGGUGAUACUCUCGUGCUUGAGCACUGUAGAGGCAGGUGGAAUUCCGGGUGUAGCGGUGGAAUGCGUAGAGAUCCGGAAGAACACCGGUGGCGAAGGCGGUCUGCUGGGCAGUUGCUGGACACUGAGGCGCGACAGCGUGGGGAGCAAACAGGG
rnacentral:rRNA from 1 species